rnacentral:piRNA from 1 species
UGUAGAAGAGCUAAGGCUUACAAUGGUUAC